GCAGCCGCGGUAAUACGGAGGGGGCUAGCGUUGUUCGGAAUUACUGGGCGUAAAGCGUGCGUAGGCGGUUUGGAAAGAAAGGUGUGAAAUCCCAGGGCUUAACCUUGGAACUGCACUUUUAACUACCAGGCUAGAGUAUGUCAGAGGGGUGUAGAAUUCCACGUGUAGCAGUGAAAUGCGUAGAGAUGUGGAGGAAUACCGAUGGCGAAGGCAGCCCCCUGGGAUAAUACUGACGCUCAGGCACGAAAGCGUGGGGAGCAAA
rnacentral:rRNA from 1 species